GUAUGCCUUCCAGAGGACCACGUGUGUCACACCACGCCCCGCACGGUCCCACGCGUGCUGGCCGUGCCCAGUACCGUCGGUAAAGGCAGGCAACCCUUUAGCCUGAAACUGAAAUUAAAUCCGUAAUUAUUAAGUUAUUAAAUCCGCAAAUGUACAAAGUAAAAAGGCCAAUCAUCUAGUACAAGGAUUGGCGAUAAAACCUCAGACGGUGACUUUGUUCACAGUGGGUGUCACCGAGAAGUACACAGGAAUUCUGUACACCAUCAACAACCGCACAUGUCAAAGGCAGGCUUGGGGACACAAGAAGCAUCGGGGAAAAGUCCCCACGGGCAGAAGCGGCAAAAACAUUUUGGUAGCUUAAUAAAACAGGUGAAUUUUUUCUUAGUUUACGUGAACCGUACCUGGCUCAUUUUCACAAACGUGGGGGACGGGGGAAUUACCAACCGAAAAUAGCUAUUGUAUACAAGAUACCUGCGGUAGCAAAAGCAAUAGCUAAAUUUGUGUGAAAGUUUCAAUUGCCUUCAUCCAAAAUUUGAUUCGCUGCAAUCAAGGUCAUCGUGGGUCAAAAUGAAACUUGUAUCAAAGGUGCAUGAGAAAUUACCAGAAUGGCUUUCCUUACUGCCUACAAAACCAUUCCUGUUGGAAAGGAACUUUUUAAUAGGCAACUUAAGACUCGAGGGUGACCACAGAAAGAGUAGAGGAGGAAGGUGUCUGGUCGAAGACGCCCACCGACAGGGAGACCUUCCCACGGUGAAUGUCACCUCCAGGUGAAGCCUUUUUACCAACAGGUUUUGCUUUUAGUGCAAUACCCCCAAAUUCAAGCCACAUUAAAAUAAUUCUGUUCUGUAUGUUACGGCCUGAAUUGUGCCCCCCCAAUUCAUACGUGAGAGCCCCGACUGCUCCCCAGUGUAACUGCUUUUAGAGACAGGGUUUUGAAUAUAAUCACCUUUUAAGGAGUUGGGCUGAGGUUGGAGGUCAGGAGGGUGGCCCUGCUCUGACCUGACCGGCGUCCUGACCGGAAGAGGAGGGGACGCCGGAGAGGUGCACCUGCGGGGGAGGAGGCAGGAGCGGACUCGGGGAGAGGGCGGCAUCCGCAAGCCCAGGAGAGCCUCCCAUGGGGCCCACUGCUGCACCCGUGUCCUGGCCUCCCAGCCGCCAGGACCGUGAGGGAUAAGUUCCCGUUGUUCGAGCCGCCUGGUCCGUGGCGUUUUGUGAGGACAGGCCUAGCAGGCGAGCACCCCGUGUCAACACUUGAUUGCUGAAGAGAGUCCGAGGAAACGUUCUCUGUUCAGGUGAGCUAAACAAAGGCUGAGCGCCGGGAAUAUUCACCCAAGGGCAGAUUGACAGGGAAAACGUGGAAUGCCAGGUUAGAUGUGAAUUUACGGUACGUCCAUACCACGCAAAAUUUGUAUUUUUUUCUCUUAUCCCAUUUCCUCUUAAUCCUCCCCCAUCCAGAGUUCCUAUUGAUGUAACUUUUAACUGGAUACACUUGCUUUAAAAAAGAAGCUCAAGGUGAAGAGAGGAAAUUAUCCAGCAGAAUUAACCUCAAGGUUCAGAUUGAUCUCACGGAAGAGGAAGGUGUGAAGGGCGGGCAUGUCGGGGGUCAGCGUGAGACCUGCUGUUGGGGGCGACUGUGUGCACCCCCCCCCACGGAGGAUGUACCUCGCUCUCCUCUGACUGUGCACCCCCCCCCCCCACGGAGGGUGAACCUCACUCUCCUCCCUGGAAGGGGCUCCAGCCUUACAGUUCCUCACAUGUAAGACCAAAGCACAACCAAUAGAACGAAAAUAGACAAAGUGGAUUUCAUCGAACAUAAAAGCCCUGGUGAUUCCGAGGGCACCAUCAGGAACGUGAGCAGACGAGUCACGGAACGGGAUAAAAUAUCUGCCAGCCACGUAUCUGAUAAGGAACUUGCCUCUAGAAUACCCAAAGAAGUCUAAGAACUCAAUGAUAAAAUGGCAAGUAAGCGGCAUCACAACGUCCACAGGAUUGAACACACGUUUCUCCCAACAAGACGCACAAGUGACCACGUGAGAGUGUGCGCGAUCGGUCAUUAAACCGCAACAGUGCAAGGCCCCACGCGCAUAGGGUGGCUGCAGUUUUUUUAAAAGAUGGAAAGUAACGAGCGUUGGAAAGGAUGAGAGGAGAAAUUAGACACCCGAUGCUGGUGAGGACCCAAUGCAGCACUUUGGCGGUUCUCAAAGACGCUAAACAGAGUCACCAUACGGCCUGGCGAUUCUGCCAUCAGGUAGACACUCAGGAAAGAGAAAAGGACGUGUACACAACAUCUCUACACAAAUGUUCACAGAACCAUGGAAACGAGACAACGUCCGUCAGCUGAGGAACGGACACAUAAAACGUGGAGCAGGAUUCCGGCACCAAUGGGGAUGAAACGCCAACAUCCGCCAGAGCGUGGCCGGUCCUCGUGACCAUGGCGCUGAGUGAGAGAAGCCAGUCACAAAAGAGCAAACACAGGAGGCUCCACCCGUGUGAAGGGCCCGGAAUGAGGAAGUCCACAGGGACAGAGGUAGACUGGCGGUCAUCUGGGGCUGGGGGUGGCCGUGGGGAACUGCCAAUGGAUACGGGGCUUGGGGUUUCGUUGGAAGGAUGAAAAUGUUCUAGAAUUAGAAGCAUUGUGAUGCUGCACAACACAGGGACGACGCUGAAAACUUCUGAGUUGUACCCUUCACGCGUGGGAGUUUUACCAGACCUCACACAGCUGCUUAAAGAAAGCUCGUGGCGUGGAGCGUGGAGGCGUGUGGAUGAACGAGGAGGCAGCAGGAGGGCGGCGGGAGGCCACGGACGGGCCUCGGGCCAUAUGAGGUGACAGGGGCACCACGUGAGAGGCCUGAACAGAGGAAGGGCUCGUGUUUUUAAAGGUCAGCAUUGAGAAAGCUGCAUGUGGACAAGACUCCAGCCGACAGGUGCGCGAGGAUGCACAGAGACCCGGGGUCCGCCACGGUGACCCAGGUGCCAUGAGCACGCGAUUCAGGGAGAGGGGCAGCCACCAACGUGGCACACACAGUUCAAGUGCAGGACGCUCAGGCUGGCCUGCAGAACUGAACACAAGGGGUCGGGGAAACUGCGUCAAGGACGACUCGUGUUGUUCGACCUUACCCCGAGAUUCAGAUGCCUUUGUGAAAUUUAGUGUUUUGUUUUGCAUAAACGUGUAAGAAA